GAUCAUGGCUCAGGACGAACGCUGGCGGCGUGCCUAACACAUGCAAGUCGAACGGAGUCGGCCCCGCAAGGGACUGACUUAGUGGCGAACGGGUGAGUAACGCGUGAGCAACCUGCCUUUCAGUGGGGGACAACAGUUGGAAACGACUGCUAAUACCGCAUAAUGCAUUUUGACCGCAUGAUCGAGAUGCCAAAGAUUUAUUGCUGAAAGAUGGGCUCGCGUCUGAUUAG
rnacentral:rRNA from 1 species